rnacentral:misc_RNA from 1 species
GCAAAGAUAGACGCUUGAUAUUUGUGAUUUAUAUGGUUACCAUAUAAAGUCCUUGGUUAUUUUUCUGUUAUUUAUCUAUUUUUAAUUUUAAUUUUUGAAUUUAAAGGAGGAAAAUAGGUGGAAUUUAGAUGAAAUAUUAAACUCUAAAUAGCCAUAAUCAUUAGAUGUAAAUUUAAAUUUUAGAUGAAAUUAAACACAUGAAAAGUUGUAUAAAUUAACGUUCAUGAGGAG